UUACGGCCACAUUAUGCCGACACACUGGUUCCCGUAGGAUCACCGAAGUUAAGCAACGUCGAGCAUGGUCAGUACCUAGAGGGGUGACCGCUUAGGAAUACUAGGUGCUACAAG